GACAGCAGCAGCCACGGUAAUACGUAGGUGGCGAGCGUUGUCCGGAAUUAUUGGGCGUAAAGGGAGCGCAGGCGGACAUAUAAGUCCAUCUUAAAAGUGCGGGGCUCAACCCCGUGAGGGGAUGGAAACUGUAUGCCUUGAGUGUAGGAGAGGAAAGCGGAAUUCCCAGUGUAGCGGUGAAAUGCGUAGAUAUUGGGAAGAACACCAGUGGCGAAGGCGGCUUUCUGGACGAAAACUGACGCUGAGGCGCGAAAGCCAGGGGAGCGAACGGGAUUAGAUACCCCAGUAGUCCCUGUCUCUUAUACA
rnacentral:rRNA from 1 species